AUUGAACGCUGGCGGCAUGCCUUACACAUGCAAGUCGAACGGCAGCCCGGGUGCUUGCACCUGUUGUCGAGUGGCGAACGGGUGAGUAAUACAUCGGAACAUGUCCUGUAGUGGGGGAUAGCCCUGCGAAAGCCGGUUUAAUACCGCAUACGGUCUACGUAUGACAUGGGGGGACCUUCGGCCUUCGCGCUAUAGGGUUGGCCGAUGGCUGAUUAGCUAGUUGGUGUGGUAAAGGCCUACCAAGGCGACUAGCAGUAUCUGGUCUGAGAGGACGACCAGCGCCACUGGGCGGGAGCCGAGCCCCACAAUCCUAAGGGAGGCAGCAGUGGGGAAUUUGGGACAGUGGGAGGAAGCAUGAUCCAGCAAUCCGGCGUGUGUGAGGAAGGCCUUCGGUUUGUAAAGACCUUUUGCCCGGAAAGAACUCCUUGGCUCUAAUACAGUCGGGGGAUGACGGUACUGGAAGAAUAAGCACCGGCUAACUACGUG
rnacentral:rRNA from 1 species